UACGUAGGGCGCAAGCGUUGUCCGGAAUUAUUGGGCGUAAAGAGCUCGUAGGCGGUUUGUCGCGUCUGCUGUGAAAACCUAAGGCUCAACCUUGGGCUUGCAGUGGGUACGGGCAGACUAGAGUGCGGUAGGGGUGACUGGAAUUCCUGGUGUAGCGGUGGAAUGCGCAGAUAUCAGGAGGAACACCGGUGGCGAAGGCGGGUCUCUGGGCCGAUACUGACGCUGAAGAGCGAAAGCGUGGGGAGCGAACAGG
rnacentral:rRNA from 1 species